rfam:Candidatus Adlerbacteria bacterium RIFOXYC1_FTLL_48_26 rifoxyc1_full_scaffold_1039, whole genome shotgun sequence.
CCUCCUAAAAAGUAACGGAGGAGUGUAUUAAGGUACCCUAGGCGCGAAUGGAAACCGUGCCGAUAGCGCAAUGGCAAAAGGGUGCUUGACUGCGAGGCGUGAAUGCCAAGCAGGUGCGAAAGCAGACCAUAGUGAACCGACCAUCCGUAUUAGACGCGGUGGAAGAUUAUCUGAUAAAAGCUACUCUGGGGAUAACAGGCUAGUUCCGCCUAAGCGUCCAUAGCGACGGCGGAGUUCGGCACCUCGAUGUCGGCUCAUCACAUCCCGGGGGUGGAGAAGCUCCCAAGGGUUUGGCUGUUCGCCAAUUAAAGUGAUACGCGAGCUGGGUUCAGACCGUUCAGCAUCUUACGCCUUAGGCGUAGGGGAUUGGACGAUCUGAACCCCACGAGAGAAUGUUUCGUUUAAGAAAAAAUAAGAAAGUGUGGAAUCAACCAAUCACGGCGGUCGCAUAUAGAAAUAUAUGCGAAGAAGUUAACUUAUAUCGGUAAAAUCCUACUCACAGAUGUAGGACGAUACCGAGGGAAGCAGCAAUGCACCCGUAGAGACUGAACGUUAACCAUCUGAAAAGAUGAAGAUACAGUCCAUUCCGUUCAGUAAUGAACGAAAAGAAGCGUGAGACAGGUUGGUCUCCUAUCUACUGCAGGCGUCGAUUAUUGAAGAGAUUUGCUCCUAGUACGAGAGGACCGGAGUGAACUGACCACUGGUCUACCUGCUGUUCUGCCAAGAGCAACGCAGGGUAGCUAUGUCGGGAUUGGAUAAGCGCUGAAAGCAUCUAAGCGCGAAGCCGACUCUAAGAUGAGUAAUCAUUAAGAUCCGUGAGAGAUGAUCACGUUGAUAGGCUUUAAGUGUAAGCGCGGCAACGCGUUGAGCUGAGAAGUACUAAUCGAUCGAUGUUCCAUCAUU